AUAUACUAUAUAUCUAUAUAUUUUUAUAACUGUUAGAACUGCACCGCAGUUGAACCGCUUGUCCCGCACCGCUCAAACCGCAGUCACCAUUCGAAGCCUUUAAUUUGUUUGAAGACUGUUGUUCCAAUCUCCAACCGUAUGUUUUCUCGUAAGCCUUCUCGAUACAUCUUUACCAAUGUAGGUUCGUCGUGUUUGUCUACCAGACCUCCUGCUAGAAACCUUGUAUUGUAUUCUCUCACAGAAGAUUUUCCUUGCUUCAUUUCGCCUUCGGCAGGACAGAAAUUUAAAAAUAGAUGAGGAUGUUGCAUUCUCCGACGGUGUAUUUAAACGAGCCGGUUGAUAGGAUAAGCAACCAUUAGAACACUAAAGGCGUAAUUAGGAGGUGUUUCGUGAAAGUGUACAAGAGUGAGAGCCAACGAAAUGCGACCAUUUAAUAGAACAUUAUAAAAUACAACGUUAAUAAUUAAAAAGAACAACAUUAAUUGAAACCAACAACAUUAAUAAUCAUUUAGAUGCAUUUAGAGUUAUUUAAUUAAACAAUACUACUUAGAGUUAUUUAAGUAAUUUAACAUCCACACAAUUCCUUAAGCAGUUUAAUAUCUUCCAUCAUUUUCUUCAACUCAUCUUCCAUCUUCUUUCAGCAACUUCCUCCUUUACCUCCUACAGUUUUUCUUUUACAGCAUCAAAACAGUGAUGCCGAUUGUGAAACCCAUCAUUCUGAAGGAUAUAAGAUAGUGAACUUCAUAUAUAAACUAAAAAAAAUUGAACUUAUAUAAGAUUAUAAACAUCAUUUCUCACCUCAUCCCCCCUCCAUACAUAAUUCCUUAAGC
rnacentral:lncRNA from 1 species